GAUAUAACAUUUAGUUGAAUAGUAUGGUAACCUUUCUUUUGAAAUUUCUGUUGGUGACCAAGCUAUGUUUAGUUCAAAGUUAUGUUAAACUUUGAUUUCCUCAAAUCAAACCCAUUUGGUGUCUUUGUUAAGAAUUAGUCUUGGUAACAAGAAAACAUUUCUUUAUUUUCUAGCCUAUCUUGUCAUGUGACUUUUUCUGAACUCCUGAUUGGUUUAUUUGUAUCUCAGAGUACUGUUGGGCUACCCCAGGUGGUCCAUCUCUAUUUUGAACAGUUAUAAGAAAAUAUUUCUUAACAUUUCUUGUUUUUCUAGCGUCUCUGGUCAUGUGACUUUUUCUGAACCCCUGAUUGGUUGAUCUGUAUCCCAGAGUACAGUUGGGCUACCCCAUCUCCAUUUUGAACAGAGUUACAGUUGCAGCAGUUCAGUUCACUACUCUUUGUAUCAGUUGAUAACUCAUGCCAGUUUUACAGUCAAAAGUAAGGUAAAAGGGACCAUAAUCAUGUGAGGCACUGGUGACUGGGUUCAAUUUGCUAAAAAUCUAUGCAGCAGAAACAGCUGGGAACCAGAUAUGAAGGAUAAGGUGUCUGGAGGUUUUGACCAUACCAAAUGUCAAGAAUGAAAAGUUCACUGCAAGGGUUUGCUCUAUUUUGGAAUGUGAUACUCUGUAACCAUAUGGAAUAGUUAUAUCUAAGUUUAUAAAUUAUGGCCUUUAGUAGUAGUUAGCAUAUUCCGCUACAAAACAGCUACACUGCCAUUUAAGUAAUGCAGUAAUAUUGCUGUAAAUGCUUCUUUGAGAAGCGUAAUGAAUUUGAGACUCUUCUUCUUGUUCGUAUAUCAAGAUAAAUAAUUGGCAAUCUGAAUGUAAAGGAAUUAUUGAUGUUUGUCUGGUACUGUCAUCGUAAAAGUAUUUCCAUUCAAAGACUGUUACUAUUGUGAUCAUACUUCAUAAGUCUUAUGCAAGAAUGUGGUAAUAAACAUUCCUAUACUAUA